rnacentral:rRNA from 1 species
UACGAGGGGGGCGAGCGUUGUUCGGAAUUAUUGGGCGUAAAGGGCGCGUGGGCGGUCGGAUAAGUCUUGUGUGAAAUCUUCGGGCUCAACUCGAAGUCUGCACAGGAAACUAUCUGGCUUGAGUGUGGAAGUGGUGAGUGGAAUUCCUGGUGUAGCGGUGAAAUGCGUAGAUAUCAGGAGGAACACCUGUGGCGAAAGCGGCUCACUGGACCACAACUGACGCUGAGGCGCGAAAGCUAGGGGAGCAAACGGG